rnacentral:rRNA from 1 species
GCUGUGAUCUCUUCGGAGUGAACUUGUCGCUGUCGAGUGGCGGACGGGUGAGUAAUGCGUAGGAAUUUGCCUCGAAGUGGGGGAUAGCCCGGAGAAAUCCGGAUUAAUACCGCAUGUGCUCUACGGAGUAAAGCGGGCCUCUGAUUUAAGCUCGCGCUUUGAGAUAAGCCUACGUCGGAUUAGCUUGUUGGUAGGGUAACGGCCUACCAAGGCGACGAUCCGUAGCUGGUUUGAGAGGAUGAUCAGCCACACUGGGACUGAGACACGGCCCAGACUCCUACGGGAGGCAGCAGUGGGGAAUAUUGGACAAUGGGCGCAAGCCUGAUCCAGCAAUGCCGCGUGUGUGAAGAAGGCCUGCGGGUUGUAAAGCACUUUUAUCGGGAAAGAAAAUCCCAGGGUUAAUACCUCUGGGCCUUGACGGUACCCGAGGAAUAAGCACCGGCUAACUCAGUGCCAGCAGCCGCGGUAAUACUGAGGGUGCAAGCGUUAAUCG